rnacentral:lncRNA from 1 species
UACAGUCAGUCCUGAAAGGAUUAUAAAAGCAAGAAAGAAACAUGGACUCUAAGAAUUAACAACAGUGUGGGAAGCCACGGAGGAGAUUUAUGACUACCCUAAAUUGGUUUGUGUUUGGAUGGAUGACUAUUUCCUGCUCUUUAUUACUAGAAAUUGGCAGCAACAUCUCAGAUUGGAUAAUGGUACUGGUGGAAUAAUUACCAGAAAGAAAAAAACAUCCCCACUAAAGUGAUGAAAACAUGUACAGAUUGUCCAACCUUUUGCUUUUGUACCACUUCCCCUUCCAGAUGUCAGGGUUGUGA